rnacentral:lncRNA from 1 species
UGUGGGAUGCUGAGCGUACGCUGAUUCACAGCCGAUCGUCGGAGUCGUGCUAGCCAUUCCGUCCGGCAGUUGACUUCUUGAAGAGACUGGACAGCCUCCUCCCUUUCAAGGCUACGCAUAGAGGAUCAUAGCAGGAUUCUGAGGAUUCCAUUUGGUUCUCCCCUUGUGUUGUUGCUCCAGACUUGUAGCCUGCAUUACCAGUGGUGGACAUUUUAAAUAUCAAGUGUUGUAUGCUGUAAAAGAUCCGGAGGAAACCUGAAGUUAAUCUUACAGUGACUUUUUAGAAACGAAUGUGAAAGUGACAUUGGUAUACCUAUUCGUGCAAAUGACAAAGCAAACGACAAAGAAAGAAAGAAUCUUUGUUCGUCACCACCAACCAAAAGGUGCUUAAAUGCUAAGAUGAAAAAAUCACAUCCCUGCCUAGUCUUAGGAUAAGAGCAAGCAUUGGCUCACGCGGAGGUUAAGAGUAAAUUAUCUUCAUGCGUAUAUUUUUUUUAUCAUUAACUUGAUAACUGGUAGAUGAAACCAGACCCAACGAUAGCGAUGCACCCAGAAGUUGAAUUCUAGUACACAUGAUGACGGGAACUUGCAGCUUGUCGAAGAUCGAGGUCGAUGCAGCCCAGCUUGCUAGAAGUAACUCGUCGAGAAACUACAUUACUCCUACUCCUAGAGCAAUGGCGUGAAGCCGAAAAGUAGAUGCGUAAAAGUAAAUAUGUUGUAU